rnacentral:misc_RNA from 1 species
GGCAGAGGGAAUAUACAAUGGAGGACAUAUUGACACAACUGAAGAAAGAAAUGAUGUCAUCACAUAAUAGGAAGCUGGCACAGCCUCCUGAAGGAAAUGAAGAGGGAAGGACGGAACAAAAGGGGCUAGUCCUGAAAUGUUGUAUUCUUUGAUUCAGAUUUUGGCGAUGACUGAGGCGUACGGGGAUCAUCGGAUUGCAGUAUGCCAAAGCCUUGUACUUCACUUAGCCUUGUACUUCACUUAGCUCCGUUUAUAGCUCUUAACAUAGCAAUUUGAAUUUGGCAAGCUCUCAAAAAGCGAGCUUGGUUGUCUAAAGUAAAGAUGUGUCUUAUGUAUGGAUAAAUCUUAAAGUUGAUGGAUAUUCUCAUAAUGUUCUGC